GACGAACGCUGGCGGCGUGCUUAACACAUGCAAGUCGAACGGAAAGGCCCUGCUUUUGUGGGGUGCUCGAGUGGCGAACGGGUGAGUAACACGUGAGUAACCUGCCCUUGACUUUGGGAUAACUUCAGGAAACUGGGGCUAAUACCGGAUAGGAGCUCCUGCUGCAUGGUGGGGGUUGGAAAGUUUCGGCGGUUGGGGAUGGACUCGCGGCUUAUCAGCUUGUUGGUGGGGUAGUGGCUUACCAAGGCUUUGACGGGUAGCCGGCCUGAGAGGGUGACCGGCAACAUUGGGACUGAGAUACGGCCCAGACUCCUACGGGAGGCAGCAGUGGGGAAUAUUGCACAAUGGGCGGAAGACUGAUGCAGCAACGCCGCGUGCGGGAUGACGGCCUUCGGGUUGUAAACCGCUUUCGCCUGUGACGAAGCGUGAGUGACGGUAAUGGGUAAAGAAGCACCGGCUAACUAAGUG
rnacentral:rRNA from 1 species